rnacentral:rRNA from 1 species
CCUACGGGAGGCAGCAGGGGGGAAUAUUGCCACAAUGGGCGCAAGCCUGAUGCAGCAACGCCGCGUGAGGGACGAAGGCCUUCGGGUUGUAAACCUCUUUUAGCAGGGAAGAAGCGAAAGUGACGGUACCUGCAGAAAAAGCACCGGCUAACUACGUGCCAGCAGCCGCGGUAAUACGUAGGGUGCAAGCGUUGUCCGGAAUUAUUGGGCGUAAAGAGCUCGUAGGCGGUUUGUCACGUCUGCUGUGAAAAUCCAAGGCCCAACCUUGGACUUGCAGUGGGUACGGGCAGGCUAGAGUGCGGUAGGGGAGAUGGGAAUUCCUGGUGUAGCGGUGGAAUGCGCAGAUAUCAGGAGGAACACCGAUGGCGAAGGCACAUCUCUGGGCCGUAACCGACGCUGAGGAGCGAAAGCGUGGGGAGCGAACAGGAUUAGAUACCCUGGUAGUCCACGCCGUAAACGGUGGGUGCUAGCUGUGGGUCACAUUCCACGUGAUCCGUGACGAAGUUAACACAUUAAGCACCCGCCUGGGGAGUACGGCCGCAAGGCUAAAACUCAAAUGAAUUGACGG